rnacentral:rRNA from 1 species
CCUACGGGGGGCAGCAGUGGGGAAUAUUGGGCAAUGGGCGCAAGCCUGACCCAGCAACGCCGCGUGAACGAGGAAGGUCUUCGUAUCGUAAAGUUCUGUUGAAGGGGAAAAAGAGCGGAGAGAGGAAAUGCUUUCUGAUUGAUAUUACCCUUCGAGGAAGUCACGGCUAACUACGUGCCAGCAGCCGCGGUAAUACGUAGGUGGCGAGCGUUAUCCGGAAUGAUUGGGCGUAAAGGGUGCGUAGGCGGCCUGCUAAGUCUGGAGUGAAAGGUACCGGCUCAACCGGUACAGGCUCUGGAAACUGG